AGGACGGGCUGAGGGAUCGCCGCCGGGAGUCCGCAGGGCUCGCCGGACGGAGGAAAGUCCGAGCUCCGCAAGGCAGGGUGCCGGGUAACGCCCGGGCGUCGCGAGGCGACGGAAAGUGCCACAGAGAGCAGACCGCCGAUGGCCCCGCGGGGCACAGGCAAGGGUGAAAGGGUGCGGUAAGAGCGCACCGGGCCGCUGGCA
rnacentral:RNase_P_RNA from 1 species